CCAGCCCGUCCCCGAGGAUGAAAAGUCAAGCGGAGCGGCAGUCUGGGGAGCGGAGCAUCGCGGGGGCACUCCCGAUCUUUCGGGGCCGCUUUUGGGCACUGCCACUCAAGGGGUACCCCCCUUCCUCAAUCUGGACUCGAGAGCGCCGGCUCUCCUUUCUUUUGCCGUCUCCUCCUCCUCCUCCUCCUCCUCCUCGGGCGUCACGUGUGAACGCGCGCCCUCUUUCCCGCUCGCUCUCGGCUUCCUGCUCUCUCCGAGGCGAUCCGGAGCCAGGCGCUCGGCACAAAAAGCGACCCAGCCGCCAGCUUCUCCCCCAAUAGCUCAGCCUCUCCCGCUGACAUCACUCGGCGGGAGGAGGAGGAGGAGGAGGAAGGGUGGGGUGAGCGGGAGAAGAGCCUGCGAAAGAGCCGAAGCCGCCCGGGCAGCCGCGACGUCCAGCUCGAGGGUCGCCCAUCCCGUCCCAGCAGGGGAAGCCAGGACGCCCUUCGCUCGCUCGGCCGGCGGUGCCGGCGUCCUUCUGCCUUUCCAGCCUUUGCUUGCCGCGGGAAAGGACCAAGGGGGUCAGCCUGUCUAUAAGCGAGAGAGGAAUCUCUGCUCACAGCCCGAUGGCCAAGCACGGAGGGCUUCGGAGAGAACAUUUAUGUCCAGCAUGGCGGGUUGGUUCCACUUGUGCCAGUACGCCUUUGGAAGUUUCUGUUGCAGUGAAAUGUGAGUUCACAGGUGGCAUGGCAACAGGGAGAGGGCAAAAUGCUUGCCUGUCUGCAUAUACGGUUCAAUUAGUUUUCUUCCGGAAACUCACAGGCACAGUUCACCUUGGAUAUUAAAAGGAUAACUCAAAUUUGAAGGAUACAGCAAGAUUCUUCCCACCCCAAGUCCACUCUCUGCCUUUCAAAGGGUUUUAGAAACACCGCAUAGCUAGAUAUUCUUCUGGGAAGCCAACACUGACCCUUGGCCAAUCGUCCCCAGAAGAGAGGAGUUGAGGUGGAGGGAAAUGGCUCCUCUGCCACCAGGAAGGGGCCUUUUGGUGCUGAAGAUCCUUGGCUGUCAUCCACAGUGCCUCUGAAGGUGUUAACCAGCCCUGCUCAUCAGGGAACCCAGUGGCAGAAAUUCUCCCGUGCAACAGGAAUCGGGCCCACACCUGGACCAGGCUUGGAUUGCACCUUCAUCUGGAGAGCAAACCCUGGCUGGGCGAGGGCCUUGCCGUCUGUGGGGGUCUCCAGGGUUUUGGACUUAAUGGGAAAGGGAACAGGUUUAAGGGAGAGAAAGAAAGGGAGGGGGUCAGGGAGAGUUGGAAAGGCACAUCUUGCUUAGCAGUUGCCAUGGCAAUUUCUCUUGCUCCUGAAAACUCAAGCUGGAUGGCUUUCAUUCAUUCCCCCCCCCCCAACACUCUGCUCCCCUCCCCGUUUGCUCCGCCAAGUUACAGGCAUUCCUAACUGCUGGGCACGCUCUGUCCGUUCUGUUCCUGGGAGUGCGGCUGCCAGUUUCCAUCCUUGGCUCAAAGCUGCUCUUCUGAGCUGCCAAAGAAGGGCCAGGAGGCCAAGAGGUGGGCGCAGUUGCCCCUGUGCUUGGGUGCAAGGCCUUGGGCCCAGAGCAGGGUGCUAUCCUCUUCCCACCUUCCCCGUCCCUGGUCACCACCUUAGAGCCGCUCAUAUCUGACUCAUUUCAUCGCAGCCUCUUCUGUUACCUUCUGCAUUCACAAAGCUUUUGUUGCAGAGCUUGUCAUCCUCCCCCCACCCAGCUGAGACUGCUUUUGCCACUGGCUGGCUGCAUGGCUGUCCUUGCUAACCACAUCCUUGCUUUGCAACAUGGGCUUUAAUCUUCAGCUCCACAAUGGCUCUUAGCUGCAACCCUCAACUUUUCUGAGGAUCACACGGCCAGCAGCUGAGGAGCCAGAGGGCCAUUUAUGGAUGGAAAAAUCUCCCUGCUCCACUUUUUCCCACGAACAGUUCAGAGUUCAAUGAUGGAGACAUCAUCAAGCUAAAAAGGGACCAACCCAUUAAGAGACGGCCUUCCAUUCUCCUAAAAUUUGCCCUCCCCGCUUGGCUCUCCUACCUCACCUGCAGCUUUGG
rnacentral:lncRNA from 1 species